UACAGAGGGUGCGAGCGUUGUCCGGAAUCACUGGGCGUAAAGGGCGCGUAGGUGGCGCGACAAGUCAGUGGUGAAAGCUCGAUGCUUAACAUCGAGUCGGCCACUGAUACUGUUGGGCUUGAGCACUGUAGAGGCUAAUGGAAUUCCGGGUGUAGCGGUGGAAUGCGUAGAGAUCCGGAAGAACACCGGUGGCGAAGGCGGUUAGCUGGGCAGUUGCUGACACUGAGGCGCGACAGCGUGGGGAGCGAACAGG
rnacentral:rRNA from 1 species